AUGAGAGAUGAUACUUCCCUACAACUUGUGUAUUUUAGGAAGCAUAAAAGGAAACACAAGGAAUAAAUGUUGUGAAUAACGUGCACAAGCCCAGUGAGCACAAUCCACCCGGAAGCAUGAUACUAACAGAUUAUCCAAAGUGAUCAAGAAAGCUGCAGAUCUGGCUGGCUCAGCAGGCAGAAGGGAAUGCCAAGGGAUGUUUGGGAUUUGAUUAGCAAAACAAGCCACGGCGAGAAUGGAGCCAAGCCAAUAGUGAUUUCAGUUUGGAGGGUAUGUUCCUGCACUACAGAAGUGUGCAAUGAGAAUUUGCUUACAAUGUGUCUCAUCUAGUGGAUGCGAGAGGAAUUGGAGCGCCUUUGCUUUGGUGCACACAAAGCAAAAAAAAAAAACCCGUCUUUUAUAUGACAAGAUAGUGUGUGUCCUCUACAACCUAAAGUUAUAAACCAACACAUUUUACUUUCUACCUUGUAUUGUCCUCGCAUGCAUAAAAAUUAGGAGAAAUGAAAUAUUUCACUUGCUAUUGAAACCUUGAAGAUAGUUGUUGAAGAAGAUCAAGAGAAAUAGAUAGAUAAGGAAACUGAUCCAAGUGCAUUGCUAAUGAAUACAAGAAUGUUUGAAGAAACAAAUCCAAUAAUGCAAUGGUUGAAUGAGGAUGAAAAUGAUCCAAUCAUGGAUGGACCGAUGCUGCUUGUGCUGUGUUUGAGAAAAUAAGGCGCCUCAACUCAAGCAGGAAAGCUUCUUAUGUUGUUACAAAGGGUAAUAACAAGAAAAGAAAGAUGAAUGAUGAUGAAUAGAAUGAGUAUGUAGACACUGAGAGUGAGGAUGAUGACGAAGGGAAUGAAUAUGUUGAUAAUGAGAGUGAGGAUAAUGAUGAGGUGAGUGAGGAUGAUGAAGAUGAUCCAUCAAUGCAUGAUCAGCAAGAGACACAAAUGCCAAUAAAAAAGGAGACAAAAAUUCAAGUGGAAAAGUAGACACCAGCAAGCGACGGCAGUUUGGAGACCCGUAGAUCUGGAUGGCUAGCCAAGAAGACCAAGGACGUCAACAGCCUCUACCAAGUUGUUUCCCUAAUUUUUUUUAGCAAAAUCUGCUGUUGGAGCUUGGAGCUUGAUGCUAGUUGGGGCCUGGAAGCUUGGAGCUUUUUCAAUGGAGCAAGACCUCUCUCUGUCCAUGCUUUAAUGGUUUUCUUUUGUAGCUGUUGUUUCAAUGUCUUGCUUUGAUGGUUUUCUUUUGGAGCUGUUGUUUCAAUGUCAUGCUUUGAUGGUUCCUUUUUUUCCCAAUCCACCCAUGUGUUUUCCUUAAUGUACCACACAACUAUCUGUCUUGUUAUUGUGUCUUGCGAAUAUCCUUUCAUGUACCACGCAACUAUUUUUCUUGUUGUAGUGUCUUGGCAAUAUACUGGAUAUUAUCAUGCGUUUUUCUUGUUAUUGUGUCUUGGGAAUCCUAUGAAUAGAAGAGACGCCAAAAGAAUUACGGGACUAAAUUUGUCACUGAAUCUAUUAUCAUGCUACUUUGUUUCUGUGU